rnacentral:rRNA from 1 species
GACGAACGCUGGCGGCGUGCUUAACACAUGCAAGUCGAACGGAAAGGCCCUGCUUUUGUGGGGUGCUCGAGUGGCGAACGGGUGAGUAACACGUGAGUAACCUGCCCUUGACUUUUGGAUAACUUCAGGUAACUGGGGCUAAUACCGUAUAGGAGCUCCUGCUGCAUGGUGGGGGUUGGAAAGUUUCGGCGGUUGGGGAUGGACUCGCGGCUUAUCAGCUUGUUGGUGGGGUAGUGGCUUACCAAGGCUUUGACGGGUAGCCGGCCUGAGAGGGUGACCGGCCACAUUGGGACUGAGAUACGGCCCAGACUCCUACGGGAGGCAGCAGUGGGGAAUAUUGCACAAUGGGCGGAAGCCUGAUGCAGCAACGCCGCGUGCGGGAUGACGGCCUUCGGGUUGUAAACCGCUUUCGCCUGUGACGAAGCGUGAGUGACGGUAAUGGGUAAAGAAGCACCGGCUAACUACGUG